CAGCGGGCUAAAGUCCUGUGAAAGGAGUUGUCCGUACGCCUUUCCAGCACCGGGAAGUGGCGUUCAAGUAAUCGGAGGUCGUGAGCUUCCCAAGGGCAAAGCAGCAGGCCGCAACGCAA
rfam:Candidatus Accumulibacter sp. BA-94 contig000098, whole genome shotgun sequence.